rnacentral:rRNA from 1 species
CCUACGGGUGGCAGCAGUGGGGAAUAUUGCGCAAUGGGCGAAAGCCUGACGCAGCGACGCCGCGUGAGGGAUGAAGGUCUUCGGAUUGUAAAGUUCUUUUCUAAGGGAAGAAGAAAGUGACGGUACCUUAGGAAUAAGCCUCGGCUAACUACGUGCCAGCAGCCGCGGUAAUACGUAGGAGGCGAGCGUUAUCCGGAAUGACUGGGCGUAAAGGGUGCGUAGGUGGUUUGACAAGUUGGUAGCGUAACUCCGAGGCUCAACCUCGGCACUACUACCAAAACUGUCGGACUUGAGUGCAGGAGGGGCAAUUGGAAUUCCGAGUGUAGCGGUGGAAUGCGCAGAUAUUAGGAGGAACACCGGUGGCGAAGGCGAAUUGCUGGACUGUAACUGACACUGAGGCACGAAAGCGUGGGGAGCAAACAGGAUUAGAUACCCCGUC